UACAGAGGUCCCAAGCGUUGUUCGGAUUCAUUGGGCGUAAAGGGUGCGUAGGCGGCGCGGUAAGUCGGGUGUGAAAUCUCGGGGCUUAACUCCGAAACUGCAUUCGAUACUGCCGUGCUUGAGGACUGGAGAGGAGACUGGAAUUUACGGUGUAGCGGUGAAAUGCGUAGAUAUCAGCAGGAACACCAGUGGCGAAGGCGACCCACUGGGUCAUUUCUGACGCUGAGGUACGAAAGCUAGGGGAGCGAACGGG
rnacentral:rRNA from 1 species